rnacentral:misc_RNA from 1 species
GAUGAAGAACGUAGCGAAAUGCGAUACGUAAUGUGAAUUGCAGAAUUCAGUGAAUCAUCGAGUCUUUGAACGCACAUUGCGCCCCCUGGUAUUCCGGGGGGCAUGCCUGUCCGAGCGUCAUUGCUGCCCUCAAGCACGGCUUGUGUGUUGGGCCUUCGUCCUCCUCCCGGGGGACGGGCUCGAAAGGCAGCGGCGGCACCGCGUCCGGUCCUCGAGCGUAUGGGGCUUCGUCACCCGCUCUUGUAGGCCCGGCCGGCGCUUGCCGACACAUCAAUCUUUUUUCCAGGUUGACCUCGGAUCAGGUAGGGAUACCCGCUGAACUUAAGCAUAUCAAUAAGCGGAGGA